rnacentral:lncRNA from 1 species
UGAGCUAACACACUCAGCCCCCAUGACAUAUGCUACUUCUGGACCCCCCAUCAAGAAGGGCCUCACCAAAUGUGGCACCUCAGCCAUGGACUUCUUAGCCUCAAUAACUGUAAGAAAAGAUGUGGUUGAGUUGUUCCACUGAUACAUUCUUGGUGCUAGCAGGCAGAGUAACUGUUAUUGGAAUGUGGGUCUCAUUACAAAGACAUCUUGCUGAAUAGUCUCUGAUGGAAAAAGACUUAACAUCUUGACCACAAUGUACAAAUUCCUUCUUAUAGAAUGAGAAUAUUCAACGAUGACAAUUCACAUUGUUUUCUUACCUUGAGAUAAAUAGACACCUGUAUGAAAAUGUGAAGUACUUACCUCAUCUUGUUCCAAAAAGGCAACUAAGAAAAGAAAAGGAAAAUUAAAAAGUAGUCCUAGCUAAUGCAGUAAGACAAGAAAAUAAAAUAAAAGGUAUACAGAGUCAAAAGGAAGAAAUAAAACUAUCUUUGCAGAUAAUAUGAUAAUCUAUGUAGAAAAGCCCAAAGAAUUGACAAAAAAAAAUUUAAAAACCUCCUUGAACCAAUAAGUGAUUAUACUAGGUUGCACCAUACAAGAUUAAUACACAAAAAUCAAUAAUUUUCAUAAACCAGAAACAAACAAGUAGAAUUUGAAAUUUAAUACAAAAUACUAUUUUUGUUAGUGCUUCCCAGAACGAGAAAUACUUUGGCAUAAAUAUAAUAAAAUAUGUAAAAGAUCUAUAUGAGGAAAACUACAAACUUCUGAUGAAAUAUGUCAAAGAAGGACUUAAUAUGUAGAGAUAUUUCAUGUUCAUGGGUAGGGAGACUCAAUAUUGUCAAGAUGGAAGUUCUUCACAAUUUGGCCUAUAGAUUCAAU